CUGACCAAAAUGCUAGCCCUAAUUGUUACCUGUAUAGUGGAAAUACUGAGAAAUCAUGGUAUAACGCUUGGAGGACAUGUGCCAUGACUCCUGGAGCUUUCCUGUGGAACCCAAACAGUGAGGCGGAAGCCAAUUCCGUACAGACUAAACUUAUGCUUGAAAACGAGAAAUGCUGUGGGUUGGUGGCAAAAAAGACAUUAAUGGAAAGUUUGUAUUUAAAAUUGGCAAUACUGGAUUUGUAUUGGAUCAGGUACCAUUUGGAGUAAAUGCGGCAACAAAUGCAGGACUACAGACUUUUAUUAAUACUGAUAGUGAAUGUUUAGGAAUGAGUCCUAUCUUUGUUGGGUCUCUGAUUUGGUACUGGAGACCAAGAACUUGUUCUGUUACUGCGUCAUUCGUUUGCGAAUAUCCAAGAGUGAGUUUGACUCAUAUU